CUUGGUCUCUCCUUUACUCAGUGAUCCCCAAAGCACUGGGCUGGGCACUGCUCGGUGGCCCUGAGCAAGGGACAAGGUCAGGGCCAGGGCACCAGGAAGAUGCGGUGGCGUAGGAAGGUCAUGUGAUUGGCAGGCAUGUCCUGGAAGUCGUACGUCACCAAGAACAUCUUCACCACAGUCUUGUUGGGGUUAAAUAAGGUUAAAUGGUAGUGUCCUCAGAUGCCUAGUUGCUUGAGCCAUGCUUUCCAGAGAAGAGCAGCCCCAGAGAACAUGCAGCAUCUGGACACAGCCCCCAGUCACCUCCCCCACAGUCCCAGCCCAUC